rnacentral:rRNA from 1 species
GAUGAACGCUGGCGGCGUGCCUAAUACAUGCAAGUCGAGCGAACAGACGAGGAGCUUGCUCCUCUGACGUUAGCGGCGGACGGGUGAGUAACACGUGGAUAACCUACCUAUAAGACUGGGAUAACUUCGGGAAACCGGAGCUAAUACCGGAUAAUAUAUUGAACCGCAUGGUUCAAUAGUGAAAGACGGUUUUGCUGUCACUUAUAGAUGGAUCCGCGCCGCAUUAGCUAGUUGGUAAGGUAACGGCUUACCAAGGCAACGAUGCGUAGCCGACCUGAGAGGGUGAUCGGCCACACUGGAACUGAGACACGGUCCAGACUCCUACGGGAGGCAGCAGUAGGGAAUCUUCCGCAAUGGGCGAAAGCCUGACGGAGCAACGCCGCGUGAGUGAUGAAGGUCUUCGGAUCGUAAAACUCUGUUAUUAGGGAAGAACAAAUGUGUAAGUAACUAUGCACGGCUUGACGGUACCUAAGCAGAAAGCCAAGGCUAACUACGUG